AUAAAUUUACUAAAAAAAAAAAAAGUGGCCUUGGAGAUAGUUCAUGGAAGUGUUUACAUCAGUAGUAGACGACCUCUUAGCUUCCCAUGAAAGGAGCCCGUGCUGAUCCUCACUGUAUCUUGGCACUGCCACCAUCACCUUCUGGUUUAGGACUAGGGGAGCAAGUUUGGAGACGCAGAGCCCCUGUUUGCCUCUCUCUCGAUGAGGAGGCCCUGGGUCUCCAGGACACCUGACUCGGUCUAACAUUUGGAUGACCUUCUCAUCCCUUCCACCAUUUGCUUCUCAGGGGUUUUGAAAUUCAGUCCUCAGAUGAAAUCUCAAGGGGACAUGUGACAGGGUGGAAAGAGUAAGAAGUUGAGUCAGAGGGACUCUGGCUAUAGCAUUUGUUCAGCCCAUGACAAACCAAGGAGCUCAGAGAGAGGAAGAAGAGGGAGGUUAGGAUAUUUAUUCCUCCAGCCCCCUUCUAAGAACUCAGCUGCAUCCCUCAAUGGAAGGACUCAGCUCCUAAAAGGCCAUCAACUAUUAUGUGCUGAAAAACAAAACAAAACUCCUGGAUAACUAGGCCCUGACAGACACCUGUGACCCAAACUGCCCAUAAUGAACUCAGCGCGUUGCCUGAGACGAGGGGAUGCAUUUUAUGGCAGUAAGUUGAGCACUGCCCUCAGCACCUGUGGACUUCGCUGACCUCACCACGUGCUCCAUUACACAGGAGUAGCUUGCUUGACAGAACAGUGAAGUGGCUUGCUGAUGGCUCAGUCUAGACACCAGCUGGGAGACACCACCCUGUGAGGUUGGGCUGCCAAUUUAUAAAUCCAGAGAUUCUAAUGUAGCAAGUCCGGGGCUGGACCCAAGGAGUCUGGAUGUAAGCAGCAUCCCAGGAGAUCCUGAUGCAGUUGGUCCCUGGAGAAAUACGGCCCUAAACAGGAUGCUCCGGAGGGCGUCGUGCUGGUCUCUGGCACACAGUGGCGGGUCCUGGAUUCCUGCAGCCAGAAAUCACCGGGGACUGUGAACCCACUUGCCUGCUGUGGACACCUCCUACAAACCUGAUUCGGAACUUGGAACCCUGGGCUGAUGACCGCGGAGGGCCCCUAUUCCACUGUCUUAGUUUACACCGGGGGAACUGAGGCUCAGAGUCGCACAGGGAGCUGUUCCGAAUUACAAAUCAGCUGCACUGCAUGGCGUGUGGAACUUCCCCAACCAGGGCCACCAGGGAUUGAACCUGUGCCCCCUGCAGUGGAAGCGCAGAGUUUUAACCACUGGACAACCAGGGAAGUCCUGUCCAUGUAAUUCUUGAUGGUUGUGUUUCACUGAAGCCAGUGACAAAGCUCAAGGAGCUGCCUGCCUUUGUGCCAAGGAAAAGUUCAGCCCACGCACGAUCUGGUCCGCGUGAGGGAGCCCUCACUCCAGCCCCACCCCUAACCACCAGAAGACUCCAGUCGCCUCUCCCUGCUUUCUUCAGCUGUUUUUGGACCUUCUUUGGAGCCUGCCCUGCUCUUCCCAGGAAGCCUGAUUAUGUCACGCCACAGGAUGCGGGAUCUUAGUUCCCUGACCAAGGAUUGAACCCGUGCCACCCGCAGUGGAAGUGUGGAGUCCUAACCACUGGACCGCCAGGGAAGUCCCAAAAGUAUUUUUAUAUGUUGAUCUUUAAAUGUUAAUUUCAUUAGUAAUCCUUUUUAAUUGAAGUAUAGUUGAUUAACAAUGUUGUGUUAAUUUCCACUCUACAGCAAAAUGACUCGGUUAUACAUAUAUGUACAUUCUUUUUUAUAUUCUUUUCCAUUAUGGCUUAUCCUAGGACAUUGACUAUAAUUCCCUGUGCUAUACAGUAGGACCUUGUUGUCCAUCCAUUCUCUAUGUAAUGUAGCUACAAUGCCAGAUGUCCAGUUCAGUAUGGGGCCCAGGGAGAGUUAGGCCACGGCACUGGCCCUCAUUUCCACAGCUAGAAGGAGGCAACCCUGGGGCUGGGACUCAGUCUCCCUGGGCCCACACCACCUUGCAGCCAGGGCCGCCUGACUGCCACCCCCAGCCCAUCGCAUUUGCUUGGGUCCCCAUCAGCCAGAGUGGGAAGAGCAUCAUCUCAGCAGAUAAUCCUGCCUGCACUUCCCCAGUCAUGACUCAUCUCAGGACACACCCCUCACUCAGCACAUCCCAGCCCUGCAUUCUUUUCCCUUCUCUGAAUGUGCUAAAUCCCUCCCACCUCAGGGCCUUUCCCCAUGCGGGUCCCCUGCUGGAAAGUUCUUCAGCCUUACAGGCUGAAUCUCUCUCCACAGAAAACUGAAAGCUCUAUACAUGUUUCUGAGGAUCAUCUGUCUGUUUUCUCCACAUUUAGUAGUAACUGGUACAGAAUAAGUACCUAGAAAUGGCCCAGGCUUUAGGUGUUCUUUCCCGUCAGCCUGAGUAGAAACUUGUGCAGGGACUCGUGAGCUGGGAAAGCUUCCAACGCUGCCAUGCAAUUUUGGAUUUCUCCAGAAAUCCAUGUUAUCUUUGUACCACCACAGAAUGAAAAGCCAAGGGGACACGUUCCUAAGCAACUAUGAAAGUUCUAAAUAGCUGUUUACAAACAAAAGAGACAAGUAGAAUUUCUGUAACAUACUGAAUUUCUGAACAGCACUCAUUUAUUUCUUUCAUACAGUGUCAUUGAAAGACCUCCCUGGAGGAAGAUCCUAUUCACGAAAGCAACCAAAGGUAUAAACUACCGAGGAAUAAACUUAAAAAUAAAUGCUUAAAAAUGAUAUGAAGAAAACUGUAAAACUUUGUCAAGAGACAUGGGAUUUUAAUAAACACGGAAUGAGAAUCAGCAAAAUUAAGAUAUCAAAUUAACCUGUGUGUUUUGCACUAUCCAAGUCAAAAUCCUAACGUUAACUUUUCUAAGAUUUUUACCAAAUGAUACUAAAGUACAUCUCUAUGAAGAAUAAUAUGCAAAGAUAGCCCAAAAAUUCUGAAAAAGAAAAAUAAUGAAAAGGGGGACAUGGCCCCCUCCAAACAUUAAAGACAUGCACAAGAAUGUUCGUAGUAGCAUUAUUGAUGAUAGCCAAAAAUCAUAUAAAAUCCAAAUGCCUAUCAACAGUAGAAUGGAUAAAUUACUGCAUGUUCGUAAUCUGAUCUACUAUACAAUAAAGGACGAACUCCUGCUACACCCAAAAAUGUGGGUGAAUCCAAUAGGUAAAAAUAUGAGUGAAAAGCCAGUCAUCAAAGAGUACUUACUGUAUGAUCUACUUAUAUAUAAGAUUUAAAGGAAGGUAAAACAAAUCGAGUGUGAUAGAAAUCGGAAGAGAGGUCACCUUUCAGGAAAGCAAUGACUGGUAGAAGGCACAAGAGAUGCUUCUGGUAUGAUGUUGCCCGUGAGUAUUCACUUUCUAAAAAUUCAAUAUUAGAAUUAAAAUAAAAUACAUCAAUGAAAAUGAGCUCCCACUAUACCCAUCAACAUAAGUUCACAAAGAUAACAUUGAGUGAGAGAAAUCAGACACAAAUGAGUACACACUGGAUGAUAAUGUUUAUAUGUUAAGAGAUAGGCAGAAUCAAUCUGUGAUGUUAAACGUCAGAAGAGUUGUUAUGUCUGGACAGGUGAGAGCAGGAAAGGUUGGGGGGAGGCCUGAGAGGGGUGGAGGGGGAUCAUAGUUUUCUAUUUCUCAAUCUGGGUGGUAUUUACACAGGUGUGCUCCCUUUGUGAUACUUGAUCAAACUGUCCACUUAUAACUUAUGCACUUUCUCUAUACAUGACAUACUUGAAUCUAAAAGGUUGUUUUUGGAGCUCUUUCCUUUUGCCUCCUUGCAUUCGAGAAAGCAGGAUGGGUAGCCAGCAGCUCUUCUGGAGCCAUUCGAGAAAAUUCAGCCAGGGUUCUUGCUCUGGUUCUUGCUCUACCUCUGCUCAAACCAGCACAGCAGGAUCCGUCAGUACACAAAGGAUAUUGGCUUCAUUAAACUGGACCAAGUAAACUUCCUUGAAUGGGUCAUCCAGGACAUCCUUACAGCAGAAACAAUGCUAGCUGUUUGUACAUAAAAUUAAAAAAAAAAAUUUCAGGGACUUCCCUGGUGGCACAGUGGUUAAGACUACACACUCCCAAUGCAGGGGGCCCAGGUUCAAUCCCUGGUCAGGGAACUAGAUCCCACAUGCAUGCUGCAACUAAGAGUUCACAUGUCAUAACUAAGGAGCCUGUCUGCUGCAACUAAGACCCGGCACAACAAAAUAAACAAACAAAUAAAUAAAUAAAUAUAUAUUUAAAAGCCUUUCAAAAACAAAAUAAAAUAAAACAAAAGUUUGUUUUUUAAGAAAGUUACGUGCAUUCCCUUUGACUUGGCAAUUUCACAUUUAGGAUUUUUUCCCCUAAAGAAACAAAAGCACCCAAAGAUGUACAAAGAUAUGUAUUGAACACUGUUUAUAAUAAAUAAAAAUUAGAAACAACGUAGAUGUCUAACGAUAGAGGAACCAGGUGAAUAAUUUAGGACACGUGUACACUGAGAUACUACCCAGCCAACUGUAGAUGGUAUAGAUCUACAUUUUUAUUUAUUUAUUACAUUUAUUUAUUUAAUUUAUUUAUUUUUGGCUGCAUUGGGUCUUCAUUGCUGAGUGCGGGCUUUUCUCUAGUUGCAGCGAGCAGGGACUACUAUUCAUUGAGGUGUGUGGGCUUCUCAUUGCAGUGGCUUCUCUUGUUGCGGAGCACGGGCUCUAGGCACGCGGGCUUCAGUAGUUGUGGCUCGCGGGCUCUAGAGCGCAGGUUCAGCAGUUGUGGCGCAUGGGCUUAGUUGCUCUGCGGCAUGUGGGAUCUUCCCAGACCAGGGCUCGAACCUGUAUCCCUUGCACUGGCAGGCAGAUUCUUAACCACGGUGCCACCAGGGAAGCCCCUAUAUCUACAUUUAUUGACCUAGAAAUAAAACCUCAUUCUAAAGGCUCAGAUGAAAAAAGCAGGUAAACAUAUUAACGUUUUCAAAUAUAACCCCAAAAUGUUUUCUGCAGUAACUUGGAUGGGAGAUGAUGAAUGAUAAUUUUUCCAUUUGCUUCUGUAUAUUUUCUGACUUUUCCAUAAAACCCGUAUCUUUGAAAAGACAUUUCGUCAUUUUAUUCAUGUUAAGGCAGCCCAGCUGUCUUAGGUAAACAGGUGAAUUUCCUCCCCGAGGAGCCAGAAUCUAUGGACAGAUCUGGAAUGGUGUUCUGGCCCCAACCCCGUAUUAGAUGUGCUACUUUGGAGGUGUUACCUCAAUUUAAGAGCUUCCUUUUCCAGACCAAUAAAAAUGAAGAUAAUUAUGUUAAGAGGAUUUUAAAUGAUUCAACAUAUGUAAAGUAUUUAUCCUUGACUGAGACACAAAAGACACCAGUGAAUGUCACUGCCCUGCUUUUGGUAGGUACCAGGAACUGGAUUUCAGAAUUUGGAUUUCAGAUACAACAAAUCCUUUCAAAAGAUGCUUACUUUUCCAGGGGAUUAGAAAAUAGUCUACAGUCUCUCUUGUUCUGAUAAAGUAUUUUUUUCCCUUGUGUUGAUUGCUUUUGAUCAAAAUUGUUGACACUUCUUGGGCCUUUUUCCUUCAGCUGGGCAAGAGAAAUGGGAUUGCCCUGUGAGGACAGAAUAU